rnacentral:rRNA from 1 species
AUGGACGCAAGUCUGAUGGAGCAACGCCGCGUGAGUGAAGAAGGGUUUCGGCUCGUAAAGCUCUGUUGGUAGUGAAGAAAGACAGAGGUAGUAACUGGCCUUUAUUUGACGGUAAUUACUUAGAAAGUCACGGCUAACUACGUGCCAGCAGCCGCGGUAAUACGUAGGUGGCAAGCGUUGUCCGGAUUUAUUGGGCGUAAAGCGAGUGCAGGCGGUUCAAUAAGUCUGAUGUGAAAGCCUUCGGCUCAACCGGAGAAUUGCAUCAGAAACUGUUGAACUUGAGUGCAGAAGAGGAGAGUGGAACUCCAUGUGUAGCGGUGGAAUGCGUAGAUAUAUGGAAGAACACCAGUGGCGAAGGCGGCUCUCUGGUCUGCAACUGACGCUGAGGCUCGAAAGCAUGGGUAGCGAACAGGAUUAGAUACCCUGGUAGUCCAUGCCGUAAACGAUGAGUGCUAAGUGUUGGGAGGUUUCCGCCUCUCAGUGCUGCAGCUAACGCAUUAAGCACUCCGCCUGGGGAGUACGACCGCAAGGUCGAAACUCAAAGGAAUUGACGGGGGCCCGCACAAGCGGUGGAGCAUGUGGUUUAAUUC